rnacentral:rRNA from 1 species
UACGGUGGCGAUGGCAAGACGGAUACACCUGUUCCCAUGCCGAACACAGAAGUUAAGCUUCUUAACGCCGAGAGUCAUUGGUGGGAAACUGACUACGAGGGUAGGAAGUCCCCGUGC